UUUAAUUAUUAUAUUAUCAAUAUAAUACAUGUUUUUAUAAUGUACUUGAAUUAUAACUUUAAACUCACUGAUAACAAUACUCAGUAUUAAAGAUAACUUGUAUAACCAGUGGAACAUAUUUCACAGACAAGGAAGUUUUUUCACCAGGACUUAAUCAACUGAUCAUGAAGCAAGGACAUAUGAUAUUUGUUGCUUGUCUAUUAAUGAUCUUGUGUGGAACAUGUUCUGGGUGCGCUUGUGAAGAACAUGGAGGUAAAUGUGGACGUAGUUAUUGUCCGAUUGGAUUCUAUAAAGAUUACAGAUCGCAUGCAGAUUGUUAUUACGCAGAGUUCUGUUGUCUUCCCAGUAACUCGACGUGUUAGUUAUUGAAGUACAAGAAAUUAAUGUCCACUUCAAGAUAUGACAUUACAAUAGAUAAUGUAUACAUUUCGAAA